rnacentral:tRNA from 2 species
GGCGCCAUCGUCUAUCGGUUAGGACAUGUGCUUUUCAAGCACAGAAGCGGGGUUCGACUCCCCGUGGCGCUGCCA